GCGAAAAUGACGAGAAACUCUAAAGUGUUCACAUUGUAUUUUCCUGUCCAGACUAGAUUAUUGAGCAGCUGAUAAGCUAUUGACAUCCAGAUUUUAUUUAUUUGAGAGAGAGAGUGA